rnacentral:lncRNA from 1 species
UCUUCCUCUUAGUCCAAGAGUUGCACGUCUUCUCCAUCUCCUUCUCCUUCAGAUUAAUCCAAGAGUUGGAUGAAAGGAAAAAAAAUAGAUUUGAUCUCUCAUAUUCCUCCUCUAGAUCUUCUUUCGUUUCUCUUGAGAAGAGAAAUAGGGAAGAACAAAUCAGAUUAGAUCUAAUUUCUUCCUCUUGCGAUAGAUCUAUUUGAAAUAAGAGUACCCUAUAAGCCAAUCGC